rnacentral:rRNA from 1 species
UACGUAGGGUGCAAGCGUUGUCCGGAAUUAUUGGGCGUAAAGAGCUCGUAGGCGGUUUGUCGCGUCGAAUGUGAAAACCCGGGGCUCAACCCCGGGCCUGCAUUCGAUACGGGCAGACUAGAGUUCGGUAGGGGAGUCUGGAAUUCCUGGUGUAGCGGUGAAAUGCGCAGAUAUCAGGAGGAACACCGGUGGCGAAGGCGGGACUCCUGG